UUUUUCCUCGUAGAGAAGGCGAGCAGGAGCCCCCCGCUUUCUCCCGCAGGAACAGGGGUGCGGGGAGAAACUUAUUUUCAACAAGUUUUUUUUAUUUUUUUUGCCCCCUCCCUCCCCCCCCCCUUUUUUUUUUUUUCCCCCUGUGUGUUAAUUAUUUUAGCCCCUUUCCCCUUUCGAUGUGCGGCUUUGGACAUGCGGAGGCUACUGCAACCGUGUUGGUGGAUCUUUUUCUUGAAAAUCACCAGCUCCGUGCUCCAUGAUGUGGUGUGCUUCCCCGCUCUGACCGAAGGUUACGUGGGCUCUCUGCAUGAGAACAGACAUGGGAGUUCUGUGCAGAUCCGCAGGA